rnacentral:tRNA from 21 species
GGGUGAUUAGCUCAGCUGGGAGAGCAUCUCCCUUACAAGGAGAGGGUCGGCGGUUCGAUCCCGUCAUCACCCACCA